rnacentral:rRNA from 1 species
UGAGCAAUCUGCCCUUCUCUUCGGAAUAAGCGUUGGAAACGACGUCUAAUGCCGAAUACGACCUCCUUUCGCAUGAUCGGAGGUGGAAAGCUCCGGCGGAGAAGGAUGAGCUCGCGGCCUAUCAGCUAGUUGGUGUGGGUAAUGGCCACCAAGGCGACGACGGGUAGCCGGCCUGAGAGGGUGACCGGCCACACUGGGACUGAGACACGGCCCAGACCUCCGUACGGGAGGNAGCG